rnacentral:misc_RNA from 1 species
ACAGUCGGGGCAUUGGCGGGUGCCGCCGGGGAAGAAGUGGAACGUCAUCGGGCGCCUCCGCUCGACCCGCCUCGUAUCCUCGUCCCUUGCUCCGCGUGCCGUUUUCCGUGGGGCAGAUGUCUCAUCUGCCAGUGAAAUGACUCUCGGCGGGCAGAUUAGAAAUCUGCCCCACGAGCCUUUGGGCGUCCCUGAGCGAAGCGGUGCUUCGCGGCGAGUGCGUUCCCAAGCCGGAACGAGGGAGCCGCACAGGCGGGACGCCUGUGCCACGGCGGAUGGUUAGCGCGGGGUGCCGAGGGUCACCUUCAGCGUGACUU